rnacentral:rRNA from 1 species
ACGAACGCUGGCGGCAGGCCUAACACAUGCCAGUCGAGCGCGCCUUCGGGUGAGCGGCGGACGGGUGAGUAACGCGUGGGAAUAUGCCCUUCUCUACGGAAUAGUCCUGGGAAACUGGGGGUAAUACCGUAUACGCCCUUUGGGGGAAAGAUUUAUCGGGGAAGGAUUAGCCCGCGUUGGAUUAGGUAGUUGGUGGGGUAAUGGCCUACCAAGCCGACGAUCCAUAGCUGGUUUGAGAGGAUGAUCAGCCACACUGGGACUGAGACACGGCCCAGACUCCUACGGGAGGCAGCAGUGGGGAAUCUUAGACAAUGGGGGCAACCCUGAUCUAGCCAUGCCGCGUGAGUGAUGAAGGCCUUAGGGUUGUAAAGCUCUUUCAGCUGGGAAGAUAAUGACGGUACCAGCAGAAGAAGCCCCGGCUAACUCCGUG